GCCUCCCCGGAGCAUACAGCAGCCCCGAGCCAAAUGUGAUGGACGAACGGACGUUAGUGGGAAAAUGGUGCGGCAUUUGGAUGGAGGGGCCCCACGGUCUUGCAGGGCCAGAAGCUGUGGAUCGGAAGCACCGUUCCUCGUAUCUUACGCAAAGUUUGCCAGGGCCAACCGGCUGGUUCUGAGCAGGGGGCGAGGAGCGCGAGGGACUUGUACAUGACCCUGCAGAAGCCCCAGAGGUCACGCGUGAAGGGCAUCACAAGAUGGAAUUGAGUCACCACGAAGAGCACAGCGGCCCUUGACGGUCACCUGAUUCAUCCAGGCCUUUGUGGGAGUGAAACACAAACCUCUAUGGGGUUGGCCUUCUGAAAUGAAACACUGGGAUUUUUUGUGACUGUCGAGAAGCCCAGCUUAACCUAUUGAUCCAACAGGAUGCUGAAGAGGGCGCCUAUCAUCACCCCAUUUUGGAAGACCCCAU